rnacentral:rRNA from 1 species
GACGAACGCUGGCGGCGUGCUUAACACAUGCAAGUCGAACGGAAAGGCCCUGCUUUUGUGGGGUGCUCGAUUGGCGAACGGGUGAGUAACACGUGAGUAACCUGCCCUUGACUUUGUGAUAACUUCAGGAAACUGGGUCUAAUACCGGAUAGGAUCUCCUGCUGCAUGGUGUGGGUUGGAAAGUUUCGGCGGUUGGGGAUGGACUCGCGGCUUAUCAACUUGUUGGUGGGGUAGUGGCUUACCAAGGCUUUGACGGGUAGCCGGCCUGAGAGGGUGACCGGCCACAUUGGGACUGAGAUACGGCCCAGAAUCCUACGGGAGGCAGCAGUGGGGAAUAUUGCACAAUGGGCGGAAGCCUGAUGCAGCAACGCCGCGUGCGGGAUGACGGCCUUCGGGCUGUAAACCGCUUUCGCCUGUGACGAAGAGUGAGUGACGGUAAUGGGUAAAGAAGCACCGGCUAACUACGUG